rnacentral:rRNA from 1 species
UACAGAGGGUGCAAGCGUUGUUCGGAAUCACUGGGCGUAAAGGGCGCGUAGGCGGCCGGUUAAGUCUGAUGUGAAAUCCCACGGCUCAACCGUGGAACUGCCUUUGAAACUGUCGGGCUUGAGGCCGGGAGAGGGUAGUGGAAUUCCCAGUGUAGCGGUGAAAUGCGUAGAUAUUGGGAGGAACACCAGUGGCGAAGGCGGCUACCUGGACCGGUUCUGACGCUGAGGCGCGAAAGCGUGGGUAGCAAGCAGG